CGGCAGCCCGAGUGGUGAUCACUAUUAUUGGGUCUAAAGGGUCCGUAGCCGGUUUGAUCAGUCUUUUGGGAAAUCUGACAGCUUAACUGUUAGGCUUCCAAAGGAUACUGUCAGACUUGGGACCGGGAGAGGUAAGAGGUACUACAGGGGUAGGAGUGAAAUCUUGUAAUCCCUGUGGGACCACCAGUGGCGAAGGCGUCUUACCAGAACGGGUCCGACGGUGAGGGACGAAAGCUGGGGGCACGAACCGGAUUAGAUACCCGGGUAGUCC
rnacentral:rRNA from 1 species